rnacentral:ribozyme from 1 species
AAAAAUGAAGAAAAAGAACGAAACAAAUAAAGAAGUGUAGUGUAAUGUGAGAAAUGGAAUGAUGAAAAAGAGAAGUGAAACGAACCAUUUCUCACAUUAAUUCACUUCUUUCUUCUCUUUCUAUUCUUCAUUCAUUUGUAAUAAAAUAUGAUGAAAGAAAAGAAGUGUAAAGAAGUGAAUGAAUCCUGUUUCGUUUCUUCUUUGUGUUUAAUUCGUGCUUCCAUUCCAUUACAUUACAAUUAAACACAAAGAGGAAACAGGAUUCAUCAUUCACUUCCUUCUUCUUUCUCUUUCCUUUCCCUUUCUUUUCUCUUUUCGCUCGUUUAUAAUGUAAUGAAGUG